AAUUUAAGAUCAUUUCAAUCAACAAGCCAUGCCUGCAACUCUUAUAAGGCCCAAACUGAGGACAAGAUCUUCUACCUCACAGCUAUAGUUUGAGUCUUAGCUCUAAAUCCUCCAUUUUUAAUAAAGGUUUGCUUUCACAUGGCAGUUCCUGUGACCCAAGUUUAAUGUGAAAUAACUAAUCUGAUACUAAGUGCAAAGUAAAUGGCUGAGACAACAGUCUUCUGAGGGCCACUGUAGGAGCUAUUUAUAUCAAGAUUCAGAAACUAUGGAUCAUGAAAGUACAAUACUGAAAACUCCACCUUUCCGUGUAAAAACAGGAGCACGGGACGUGCAGUACCAGGCAAUCAGCUUACAUCCUGAUAAGGCUUGAUAGCAAAGCUCUGCAGUCAGACUGCUGAACAGAAGCUGCUCCGCUGUCACAAGAUGGGAGAAAGAAGCAUUGCAACACCGGCAAGUUGAGUCACUUCAUAAAAUCCCAGCCAGUAUUUAGCACUAGCAGCUGUUUUUUUCUGCAGCGACCUUCCCCACCAUGCUGGGUAACACCACCAAGCAAAGAAGCCAUAUAAGGGAAGGAAGAAAUAAGGCAGAAAUUAAACAUUAUUAUUUAAAACUUACGUAAUUUACUGAAGUA